CCUACGGGAGGCAGCAGUGAGGAAUAUUGGUCAAUGGACGAGAGUCUGAACCAGCCAAGCAGCGUGAAGGAUGACUGCCCUAUGGGUUGUAAACCUCUUUUAUAAAGGAACAAAACGAGGCACGAGUCCCUUUCUGCAUGUACUUUAUGAAUAAGGAUCGGCUAACUCCGUGCCAGCAGCCGCGGUAAUACGGAGGAUACGAGCGUUAUCCGGAUUUAUUGGGUUUAAAGGGAGCGUAGAUGGGUUGUUAAGUCAGUUGGGAAAGUUUGCGGCUCAACCGUAAAAUUGCAAUUGAUACUGGCAGUCUUGAGUACAGUUGAGGUAAGCGGAAUGCGUGGUGUAGCGGUGAAAUGCUUAGAUAUCACGAAGAACCCCGAUUGCGAAGGCAGCUUACUAAACUGUGACUGACAUUGAUGCUCGAAAGUGUGGGUAUCGAACAGGAUUAGAUACCCGGGUAGUC
rnacentral:rRNA from 1 species